UGCCCUGUCGUCUAAUUGGUAGGACAUGAGAAUCUGGAUCUCAGUAUCUUGGUUCGAUUCCAAGCGGGGCAA
rnacentral:tRNA from 2 species